rnacentral:rRNA from 1 species
GAACCCGCACAAGCGGUGGAGUAUGUUGUUUAAUUCGAAGAUACACGAAAAACCUUACCAGGUCUUGACAUACCAUUGACGGGGUCAGAGAUGACUCGUUCCUUCGGGACAAUGGAUACAGGUGGUGCAUGGUUGUCGUCAGCUCGUGCCGUGAGGUGUUGGGUUAAGUCCCGCAACGAGCGCAACCCUUAUUGCUAGUUGCCAACAAGAGAGAUGGGGACUCUAGUGAGACUGCCAGUGACAAACUGGAGGAAGGUGGGGAUGACGUCAAAUCAUCAUGCCCUUUAUGACCUGGGCUACAAACGUACUACAAUGGCCACUACAAAGAGAAGCGAGGCGGUGACGCGGAGCGAACCUCAGAAAAGUGGUCUCAGUUCAGAUUGAAGUCUGCAACUCGACUUCAUGAAGGCGGAAUCGCUAGUAAUCGCGAGUCAGCAGAUCGCGGUGAAUACGUUCCCGGGUUUU